rnacentral:piRNA from 1 species
UAAGCGCCCUUUCUUUGGUGA